rnacentral:tRNA from 1 species
UGGAUCACCUCCUAACAGGGAGACAACAAAAUGUUAAAUAUUAAUUUUGUCACCUUAGGUCGAUCGGUAUCUCACAUUCUUAAAUUUAUUAAGAAUUUUAAUUCCUAAGUUUUUUCUAGGUCACACCCAUUACUUUCCCUGGGCCAUUAGCUCAGGUGGUUAGAGCGCACCCCUGAUAAGGGUGAGGUCCCUGGUUCAAGUCCAGGAUGGCCCAUAUCUCUAUGUUGGGGGUAUAGCUCAGUUGGUAGAGCGCCUGUUUUGCAAGCAGGAUGUCAGCGGUUCGAGUCCGCUUACCUCCACUGAUUACCACCUCUUCCAUACUUUAAAGAAGGGAAAUGUUUUGAGUUUUGAUCAAAUUCUGAACGAAUCUAGCUUCCUAAUAAAAAAUUAUUAAGAUGCUGGACUCAUUGAAUUACAUUCAUUGUUUUCAGAGAACCUUGACAACUGCAUAGAUUAUUUUUUUAAAGACAAUAAGCAUCUUUAAUGAUGCAGAUUUAUUAUUUGUGCUAAUGCAUUAAUAACAAUUCUAUUAAGCUGAUGCUUCAAUUUUUGAAGUUAUUGGUCAAGCUACAAAGGGCUCACGGAGGAUACCUAGGCACACAGAGGCGAUGAAGG